AUUGAACGCUGGCGGCAGGCCUAACACAUGCAAGUCGAGCGGAUGAAGGGAGCUUGCUCCUGGAUUCAGCGGCGGACGGGUGAGUAAUGCCUAGGAAUCUGCCUGGUAGUGGGGGAUAACGUCCGGAAACGGGCGCUAAUACCGCAUACGUCCUGAGGGAGAAAGUGGGGGAUCUUCGGACCUCACGCUAUCAGAUGAGCCUAGGUCGGAUUAGCUAGUUGGUGGGGUAAAGGCCUACCAAGGCGACGAUCCGUAACUGGUCUGAGAGGAUGAUCAGUCGCACUGGAACUGAGACACGGUCCAGACUCCUACGGGAGGCAGCAGUGGGGAAUAUUGGACGAUGGGCGAAAGCCUGAUCCAGCCAUGCCGCGUGUGUGAAGAAGGUCUUCGGAUUGUAAAGCACUUUAAGUUGGGAGGAAGGGCAGUAAGUUAAUACCUUGCUGUUUUGACGUUACCAACAGAAUAAGCACCGGCUAACUUCGUG
rnacentral:rRNA from 1 species